rnacentral:rRNA from 1 species
GAUGAACGCUGGCGGCGUGCCUAAUACAUGCAAGUCGAGCGAACAGACGAGGAGCUUGCUCCUCUGACGUUAGCGGCGGACGGGUGAGUAACACGUGGAUAACCUACCUAUCAGACUGGGAUAACUUCGGGAAACCGGAGCUAAUACCGGAUAAUAUAUUGAACCGCAUGGUUCAAUAGUGAAAGACGGUUUUGCUGUCACUUAUAGAUGGAUCCGCGCCGCAUUAGCUAGUUGGUAAGGUAACGGCUUACCAAGGCAACGAUGCGUAGCCGACCUGAGAGGGUGAUAGGCCACACUGGAACUGGGACACGGACCAGGCGCCUACGGGAGGCAGCAGUAGGGAAUCUUCCGCAAUGGGGGGAAGCCUGACGGAGCAGCGCGGCGUGAGAGAUGAAGGUGUUCGGAGCGUAAAACUCUGUUAUUAGGUAAGAACAAAUGUGUAAGUAAAUAUGCACGUAGUGACGGUACCUAAUCAGAAAGCCACGGCUAACUACGUG